rnacentral:rRNA from 1 species
CAUUGAACGCCGGCGGCAGGCCUAACACAUGCAAGUCGAGCGGCAGCGNAAAGUAGCUUGCUACUUUGCCGGCGAGCGGCGGACGGGUGAGUAAUGUCUGGAAAACUGCCUGAUGGAGGGGGAUAACUACUGGAAACGGUAGCUAAUACCGCAUAACGUCGCAAGACCAAAGAGGGGGACCUUCGGGCCUCUUGCCAUCAUAUGUGCCCAGAUGGGAUUAGCUAGUAGGUGGGGUAACGGCUCACCUAGGCCACUAUCCCUAUGUGGUCUGAGAGGAUGACCAGCCACACUGGAACUGAGACACGGUCCACACUCCUACGGGAGGCAGCNGUGGGGAAUAUUGCACAAUGGGCGCAAGCCUGAUGCAGCCAUGCCGCGUGUAUGAAGAAGGCCUUCGGGUUGAAAAGUACUUUCAGCGGGGAGGAAGGCGCUGAGGCUAAUACCCUCAGCGAUUGACGUUACGCGCAGAAGAAG